rnacentral:rRNA from 1 species
UACGGAGGAUGCAAGCGUUAUCCGGAUUUAUUGGGUUUAAAGGGUGCGCAGGCGGGGAAAUAAGUCAGUGGUGAAAUGCUGCCGCUUAACGGUAGAAUUGCCAUUGAUACUGUUUUUCUUGAGUGUGGUUGAGGUAGGUGGAAUGUGCAGUGUAGCGGUGAAAUGCAUAGAUAUUGCACAGAACUCCGAUUGCGAAGGCAGCUUACUAAGCCAUUACUGACGCUGAGGCACGAAAGCGUGGGUAGCGAACAGGAUUAGAUACCCUGGUAGUCCACGCCGUAAACGAUGUUCACUCGCUGUUUGCGAUACACAGCAAGCGGCUGAGCGAAAGCAUUAAGUGAACCACCUGGGGAGUACGAUCGCAAGGUUGAA